rnacentral:rRNA from 1 species
UACAGAGGUCUCAAGCGUUGUUCGGAUUCAUUGGGCGUAAAGGGUGCGUAGGCGGCGCGGUAAGUCGGGUGUGAAAUCUCGGAGCUUAACUCCGAAACUGCAUUCGAUACUGCCGUGCUCGAGGACUGGAGAGGAGACUGGAAUUUACGGUGUAGCGGUGAAAUGCGUAGAUAUCAGGAGGAACACCGGUGGCGAAGGCGGGUCUCUGGGCCGAUACUGACGCUGAGGAGCGAAAGCGUGGGGAGCGAACAGG